AUGGCGACGGCGACCCGGAUGCUGGCGCGCCGCGCCGCCCCCGGCCUCCUCCGCUCCGCCACCAGCCCCGGUCUCCUACGCUCCGCCGCCGCCGCUGCCACAGGCCCCAGCCCUGCCCUCGCGCUGCCGGCGCUGCUGCAGGCGCAAGGAGGAGGACGCCGCUGGUACCGCGCAGCAGGAGGGGACCCGUCGCCCUCGUUCUACGAGCCGCCGCCGACCCCGGCCAACCUCGGCCUCAGCAUCGUCCCGGAGAAGAAGGCGUUUGUGGUGGAGCGCUUCGGCAAGUACCUCAAGACCCUGUCGUCGGGGAUCCACCUCCUCAUGCCGGGCGUCGACCGCAUCGCCUACGUCCACUCGCUCAAGGAGGAGGCCAUCCCCAUCCCGGACAACUCGGCAAUCACCAAGGACAACGUCUCGAUACAGAUCGGAGGAGUGCUAUACGUCAAGAUUGUCGACCCCUACAUGGCCUCGUACGGCGUGGAGAACCCCAUCUAUGCUGUCAUCCAACUUGCGCAGACAACCAUGAGGAGUGAACUUGGCAAGAUUACCCUCGACAAGACUUUCGAAGAGAGGGACACGCUCAACACCAACAUUGUGAAGUCAAUCAAUGAGGCAGCAGAAACUUGGGGUUUGAAGUGUCUUCGCUACGAAAUCAGGGACAUCACUCCUCCAGAUGGAGUCAAGAAGGCCAUGGAGAUGCAGGCUGCAGCAGAGCGCAAGAAACGUGCUCAGAUCCUCGAGUCUGAAGGUGCUAUGAUGGAAAACGCAAACAAAGCAAAGGGUGAAGCUGAAGCAAUUCUUGCCAGGUCACAGGCCACUGCUGAAGGGAUCAGGAUGGUCUCAGAGUCGUUUAAAACUGAAGGCAGCACAGAGGCUGCCAGCUUGAGGAUUGCUGAACAGUACAUCAGAGCAUUCAGUGAACUAGCUAGAACAACGAACACGAUGCUUCUUCCCAGCGACGCAGGCAAUCCGGGGACAAUGAUUGCUCAGGCCCUCCAGAUAUACAACCACACGUACAAGCAGAAACUGACUCUGGGAAGCCCCAGCCCCAGCAAGCGGGCAGAAGAGGCUGAUUUGUCCCUUGGGAUGCCAUCCGUGAGCGACCUCGGCACCUUUCAGCACCAGAAGUAA
rnacentral:rRNA from 1 species